UUUUCUGUGGCUCAGUUGGUAGAGCAUUGCGCUAACAACACAGAGGUUGUGGAUUCGUAUCCUAGGAACUGAAAAA